UGCGCCCGGGCACCGCCUGCGCUGCGCCGCCCGGCCUCACUCCGCGGCCCGCCAGGACCCGGCCCCGGUGAACGGGCUCGGGGUGCCGAGGUCCGGCUGCGGGGCCGGGAAGCCACCUCCACCUUGCCGUCUGUUACGACCCCCGAGGCGCAAGGCUGAGCCCCAUCUCGCUAUCCGGGUCCGGAGGGGUUCACCUUAGAAGGAUUUUUUGAAGCUCUUGGCGCUGGCUCUAAAAGAACCCACUUCCUUGCGGAUUUCAGGAGUCAAGAAUCCUUAAACGGAGCCAAUUUGCUUUGUAAAGCCAAUUGCCCAAGUGACUUGAGUUCGAAAGGAGAUACUUCCUGGACAACUGCUAUAAAAACAACAACAAAUACUUUUAUUAAUUCGGGGAGCCUGGUCACCAACUGGAUGCUCAGAUGGAACCCUGAGCAGCCCAUGUACAUGGAAGAUCUUUAUUGCAGAGAUCUUCAAACCAGCUAGUGUGCAUUUACUCCUGCCUCUCCAUGCCUGAAGGAAGGAAUGAAGAGGUCUCUGCUGUCCAUCUGAGCCAGUGACUGGGCUGUCUCUACCAGGCCAGAAUUUGGGGCAGGCAAGAUUUUCAGCAUCCCUAAAAUCACACUAAGAAGAUAAACAUGGAAACAGCUUGGAGCUGCCCUACCCAUAGUGAGGUGGUACUGACUGGAAGACAGCUUAAACGAUUUGGAGAAAAGUGGAAUACAUUAAUCUCAGAAAACUCUACCACCUGUAGAAAGAGAGCUAAAAUGGAGACAACCACAGGCAGUCUAAGAUACGCUGAACUACUACAGAAAAUAAUGCAGCAUGAAGGAAUGCUGGAAGGUAUGGGGUCAGAGCAAGCUGAUGGAGGGUCCUUCAUUUCCAAGCCACGAGUACAGCAGGAUGUAAGGCUUAGUUCAUAAGAACAUCUCCUGAAAGACAAUCUCUAUAAAAACUGUUUCAAUAGAAAGAAUGCAAGAUGUAACUGUUUAAUAAUAGGACUGAUAUUUUAAAAAACAAAUGAACGUAAUAGAAGACUAGAUGGAUGUGCUUCUCAAAGUCCUCUCUGUGGGAGGCUUCAUCCUCACUCUAGAUGUGUUGCCUGUAGCAGCUGUUAUUGAUUACCCGCCCAUAGCCUAUCCAUACUUACUCAUCAUUCCUUUACCUACCAGUGGCAUCCUAUUGGAAGCACCUGCGACUUUCUUAGGGCUUUCUCUUGGCCAAGCAUUGGAAGGCCAGCAGUAUUGAAAAGUUAAUAGUCUUGGAAGCACUGGCCCUCAACUAAUGACAAAGAAAAAAUAUAAGAUAAAUUCCCCAGCUUCCUUGCCUCCUGAAUGGGUCAAGUCUGUGGUGUGUUCUACCCGUUUUUCAGAGGUCCCAUGUUUUAAACCCUAGCUGCUCAAGGCAAUUUCCUGAUCAUUGAUGUACUCUCUAUUGGCUAAUUUUUAGAUAAUAUGGAAUAUGCUCAAAAUAGGAUACUCAAAGAAAAAAUCAGAUGCCAAAAUUAUGUACACCGAAUGAGUUCAAUUCUGUAUAAGUGUGGACAUACACACAUCAAAAGAAAUAUGGAACAAAAGAUACUAAAUGUUUAUAGUGGUUAUUUCUGGGUGUUGAAAUUUUAAGUGAUUUUCCUUUUCUUCUUUGUAAUUGUCUCUAUUUUUCAGUUUUUUCAAUAUACCCUGUAUUUCUUUUAAAAUCAGAACAAACCACCAUAAGUUAUUUUAAAAGGCUUAUAAAGCUGAUGAAUAUUUUGUCUUUGUUUCCUUUGUGUUGCCAUAGUCUGAGGGAGUAGUUCUCAAGUGUAGUCUCUGGACCAGCAGCAUCAACAUUACCUGGGAACUUGUUAGAAAUGCAAAUUCUCAGAGGAUGCCUAGGACCUUCUGAAUAAGAAACCCUCGGGGUUGGGGGUGAAGGGGACAGCAAUCGGCAUUUUAAGAAGCUCUCCAGGUGAUUUUUAUGCACAUUGAAGUUUGUGAACCACUGGUCUAAAGAUAACUUUUAUUACACCUACCUGUUAGUCCCCACUAAAGCUCCCUGGGUGGGGUCCAAAAAUUUCAGUCAUGUAAAAUGCAGGAUUGCAUUUUUGUGGGGUUGGCAAACUGAUUGGGAUGAGCCUGCUGAGUAAGAUGAAAGCUCAUUACAGUUGUCUUAUGUCUGAAUUCAUUGUAGGGCAAAUUAUGUUGGGGUUUCAUCAUAAAUAUAUUGGUCUGCAGAGUUUAUAUAUUCUGUAUUGAAAUCUAUGGUGCAUUUAAUAGGCAGAAGGCUAGACUAAUUUAAAUCUAAUCUGAUGAUCACGGAGACUGCUUGACACCUGUGAUGUUUCACAGGCUUGGAGAAAGUUUUGUUUUCUUUAUACCUUUAUUUUCUACUUGCCUGGUGGCUUCAUUUCCUUAGUUUGAUUUUUCUUCCAUAAUUCUUCUCUCUUUCCCCCAAUUAUGCAAAGAUAGUGGAUUUCAAUAUUUUGUGGAAAAAACUACCAUCCCUUGGAUUUGAGAGGCCCCUCCUCAGUUUCCCCCAUGGAGCUUUUGUUUUCCAGUGUGUUACAUUAGUUGUUUGUGAAUCUGUCUUCUCCCCCACCAAAUGGAGGCCCUAAAUGCCAUGUGAGCAGGGACAGUGACUUAUACCUCCUUGCAUGCUUGGUUCUUAGCACAGGGCCUGGCAGAGACAGCAAGAACUCAAAACAUAUUGGUGAAUGAGUGAAUGAUGAUGCUGUAAUUCAAGACACACAUUCAUUUAUUUAGCAUUAAAAUGUUUUACAUAGCAAAUAUUAAUACAAGAAAUGCAUGCCAGGAACUUAACCUACAUUCAUUUUAAUAUGUGAAGAAUAGGAAUAUGUGUACUUAAAAUACAAUGUGCUGUGCCGUUUAUCAUUUUGUUCAUCUUCACCUCAUCAAUUUUUCAGAAACUUCCAGCAGAUGGCACAAUAAAUACUGUCAUGGGACUGCAUUAGAAAUUGGUUAAUAUUUUUCAAGAUGAGCUUAAAAAUUAAAAUGAAUAAAAGUUUCUUAGUUCAAUUAAUUAUAAUAACUGGCAUUUAUUUGCCAUUUUCCCAUUAACAAAGUGCUUUUAAAUCUUUGUCUUGAUUCUGCUCAAAUUCUGUCAACAUAUUGAGAACGUUUGAUUAUGUACUUUAGACUUUUGUUGAUAUGUCAUUCAAUCACGGUUGCUGAAUAAUUUAUAAUCAUUAAUGACAAUGCUAUUAUUUCAUAUUUGUAACAUACCAAUCUUUUAAAGACAAAUUUUUUAUGUAAUUCAGUCACAGUUGCUGAAUAAUUUAUAAUCAUUA
ensembl:lncRNA BAALC-AS1 BAALC antisense RNA 1